AGAGUUUGAUCAUGGCUCAGGACAAACGCUGGCGGCGUGCCUAACACAUGCAAGUCGAGCGUGAAGGGAGCUUCGGCUCCUGGAAAGCGGCGAACGGGUGAGUAACACGUGGGCAACCUGCCUCAAGGACUGGGAUAACUCCGGGAAACCGGGGCUAAUACCGGGCGAUGUCGUCUGGCGCAAGCCGGCCGACCAAAUGGUAGCUUCGGCCUCCGCCUUGAGAUGGGCCCGCGUCCUAUCAGCUUGUUGGUGAGGUAACGGCUCACCAAGGCUACGACGGGUAGCUGGUCUGAGAGGAUGAUCAGCCACACCGGGACUGAGAUACGGCCCAGACUCCUACGGGAGGCAGCAGUGGGGAAUCUUGCGCAAUGGGCGAAAGCCUGACGCAGCAACGCCGCGUGAGCGAAGAAGGCCUUCGGGUUGUAAAGCUCUGUCAGGGGGAAAGAAGGCACCUGGGUUAAUAGCCCAAGGGCUGACGGUACCCCCAAAGGAAGCCACGGCUAACUACGUGCCAGCAGCCGCGGUAAUACGUAGGUGGCGAGCGUUGUCCGGAAUCAUUGGGCGUAAAGAGCGCGUAGGUGGCUUGUCAGGUCCGAUGUGAAAACCUGGGGCUCAACCCCAGGCCUGCAUCGGAAACCGGCUUGCUAGAGUCUGGGAGAGGAGAGUGGAAUUCCUGGUGUAGCGGUGAAAUGCGUAGAUAUCAGGAGGACACCGGUAGCGAGGCGGCUCUCUGGACAGUACUGACGCUGAGGCGCGAAGCUAGGGAGCGAACAGAAUAAGAUACC
rnacentral:rRNA from 1 species